ACCUCACGACGAAGAAACUGUUACCAUUUAAAAGGAAAAGUAACUUCGCUACAUAACAUCUACUAUUAACGCAGUCUAGGAAGGUUUUAUCCUGAAAUGCGUGCGGAGGAGGCUAGAGGGUGAAGGUUUUUUUCUCGGAAAUUACAGUCUUCCUCAACUCCCGCCUCCCCUCCACCCGGCGCUUCCCGUCACUUUGGAGGGACUCGAAGCCGUCCCAGGCCAUUUCUAUGGGUGACGACUUGUGGACUACCGUGAGGAAAUCAUUUAUGAUGGCGAGAACCCUGCUGGCCAUCUUAUAUGCCCCUAAGGACGGCAUAGAAGGAGCUGACUGCUGGUAACUUUUCUGCCUAUCUCUUCCUGUAUUUGACUUUUUCGAGAAAAUAACAAAAUAAGGAGUUCCCACUGAUGCACAGUAGGUUCGGAGUCCAACUGCUGCGUCUUAGGCCACAGCAGAGAAUAUGGCCCUGAGACUAUACUCUGGCCUGAAAAUGAACUUCAGGAAGCUACUUUAGAGAGAAGAGGGAUGCAGCUUCUCCUUUAACUUCCCUUAUUCCUGUGAUGACUGGAGCGCUCACAACAUUUUUAGGUCAUGAGAUAAUGCACCGUAAUGGAGGGCAGAGCAUCAAGAAAGAAGGAACCUCAGUUCCUGAUACAAUGAAGCACUAUAGCAACCCUGAAAUUUUUAGAUGGCUUGAAGACAAAUUGGAGAUGGCAGAAAAAAGACUCAGUGGCCUUGAAGGAGUUGAAAGGCAUUCCAGGCUGCUGCAGCUACUCAAAGAAGUCAUCAAGGACCCGUGUUCCUCCUAGUGCCCCAGUUCUCCAUCCUUAGGAUGUUUCUUCCAUCUUCAUGGUGACAAGAUGGCUUCUCCACCAUCAAGCACUGUGUCCAUGAGUCAGGCAGAAAGAAGAGGGGCAAGGCAAUGGGCUUGUUCCCAGAAGCCCCACCAAGCCACUGUCUAUAGGAUUGAGAAUCAGCCAGAACUAUAUUAUAUGGUACCGUGAAUGAAAAAUGUUGCCUGCCAUAUCAGUAAAUAAAGGAUGUUGCAGCCACUGAGGUAUGACAGCCACCUCUACUGGCACACUCUGAGGGAACUCAGGAUUGGAAAGAGCAGGAAACUGGCCCUAGACAGCUAAGGUGCGUAUCAAAGGCAUGAUUUCAAUGAGCCCAGACUCUUGCAUCGUCCCACACAUAGAAAAGUGCUAAAGUCAUAAUUUUCUUUGAUUAACAGUAAUCUUUUGAAGUUCCAACUAUACCUGGUCUUUGUUGCAGAAACUCCUAUAUAUUCUGGCUCCUCCUUUACCUCUUCAGAACAAUCCCUCAGAGCAACCUGAGAGGCGGCAUUCUGGACUUAUGUCUUCAGUUUUGUCUAUCAAAUAAAAUAUAAUUCUUGACUUUCAGGUGUGCAAUUUUUUGGCCAUGCCCACAGCAUGUGAAGUUCCCCAGCCAGAGAUCAAAUCUGCACCACAGUUGUGGCAAUCCCGGCUCUACCACUUGGGAACUUCCUAGAUGUAUUUUUUCGGUCAACAGAGCCCACAAGAGAGGCUGAAAGUUCAAUGUUAUAAGUGGGUUCUUUGUGCUUGGAAUAGAUUCUGUGAGUAAAGAUAAGAGAGAGAAUAGCUAUUCUAGACUUGCCAGGUCUGCAACACUGGCAUAGUAUGUACCUUGAAAAUGCUAAUUAUAAACCUGAUUUUUUUCUCUUUUUUUGCAACUCUGAAAUUUCUUAGGAGGAUUUAGAGUGGAAGCUCAUAGAAAACAUUAAUUCUCUGUGGAGAAAUAUUAAAGACUACCACUUCAAAAAGUAUUGGACUAUACCUUGCAGACUCUCUUAAAUAUUGUUAAUAAAGGACAGAGAAUAAUGCUGCCA
rnacentral:lncRNA from 1 species